UAUAGACCACACUCAUCACUGUCGGAAACUAUAUUUAGCUGUUAUGUUAGCGCGCGGGCAUGCGAGUAUACUCGCGAACUGUCGGACAGCUCCGGAAUAUACCGUUGAGAAUGUUUACUUUUGAGUGGGAUUCGGGAAAACACAGCGAAGCGAGCAUGAGAUUUGUGCAUAAAACUAUAAAAAUACAUAGUGUUUGUUAUCUUUAACUUGUGUUGGGAACAACGGGAGGCAAUUCUCAACAACUGGCACCUCCGUGAUGGGAUUUGUGGGAUUUUAAGCUCGAACAAGAGCAAGAACCUAGCAUUUUAUCGAGUGACAAAUCGAAACUAAACGACAGCGUACAAACUACAGUGAUAUACGGCCACUAUUUAUCGAGUGAUUUAUUAUAUAUAACUAAACAAACGAAGUGAAAGGAAAGCAUGGAGACAAAACUACAAGAGCUUGAUGGGAAACUACGAACAUUAAAAUUUACGUUGGGUAAAAGCAAACAAGAAAUCGAAGCGAGAAACCUCGAUGUGAUAACUAGACAUAAAGCGUCAAUCAAAGGUAAAAUCGAAGCGAGUCACGCCUUAAAAGAUGACAUUAUAGAAUUGAAAUUCGGUCAGAAACAAACUGAAGAGCAAGUGCAAGAAUGGCUCGUCGACAUUGAAGGAACUUUGAAAACGUUGAAUUGGCCGAAUCAGGCCGUUGAAUUGGCCGAAUCAGUUAAACAAGAGAGGGCAAUCGAGGACGAAAAGCACGGACAAAAAAUGAGUCACGAACGUGAACUUUAUGAACAACAGCUAAAGUUUCAGAAGGUGUUAGCAACGGGACAGCAAAACCAAGUAAAGAAAGC